rnacentral:lncRNA from 1 species
GAUUAACAAAGAUGCAGAAAAUUAAAUGCGUCAUUGAAACAGGAUCAUAAUCCUCAAAACUGAAGGAGAGGAUGUGGACAUCUGAAAUAUAAAUGAUGGUUACAUGAGUCGUUGGAGGAUUGGUGAUGGAAUAGGUCUCCAACAUCUGCUUCCUACUUGUAGAGCGCUCAGAGAAUAUGCCUCUUUCCCCCAAAAGACCUUUGUGGGUAGGGCAGAUCUGUUAUAUUUAUGGUUAUCUUCUUGACAUCUACUGAAAUAUCGGCCCAUAUUUCCA